UACGGAGGGAGCUAGCGUUGUUCGGAAUUACUGGGCGUAAAGCGCGCGUAGGCGGCUUUGUAAGUUAGAGGUGAAAGCCCGGAGCUCAACUCCGGAACUGCCUUUAAAACUGCAUCGCUUGAAUCCAGGAGAGGUGAGUGGAAUUCCGAGUGUAGAGGUGAAAUUCGUAGAUAUCCGGAGGAACACCGGUGGCGAAGGCGGCUUCCUGGACCGACACUGACGCUGAGGCGCGAAAGCUAGGGGAGCAAACGGG
rnacentral:rRNA from 1 species